AUUGAACGCUGGCGGCAGGCCUAACACAUGCACGUCGAGCGAGCGGCGGACGGGUGAGUAAUGUCUGGGAAACUGCCUGAUGGAGGGGGAUAACUACUGGAAACGGUAGCUAAUACCGCAUACCCACAGAUGUGCCCAGAGGGGAUUAGCUGGGAGGUGGGGUAACGGCUCACCUAGGCGACGAUCCCUAGCUGGUCUGAGAGGAUGACCAGCAACACUGGAACUGAGACACGGUCCAGAAUCCUACGGGAGGCAGCAGUGGGGAAUAUUGCACAAUGGGCGAAAGCCUGAUGCAGCCAUGCCGCUUGUGUGAAGAAGGCCGUCGGGUUGUAAAGCACGUUCAGCGGGGAGGCGUUACCCGCAGAAGAAGCACCGGCUAACUCCGUGCCAGCAGCCGCGGUAAUUC
rnacentral:rRNA from 1 species